rnacentral:rRNA from 1 species
AUUGAACGCUGGCGGCAUGCUUUACACAUGCAAGUCGGACAGUGGCGAACGGGUGAGUAACGCGUAGGUAACUGCCUGGUAGCGGGGGAUAACUAUUGGAAACGAUAGCUAAUACCGCAUACUACCAGAUGGACCUGCGUUGUAUUAGCUAGUUGGGGGGGUAACGGCUCACCAAGGCAAAGAAACAUAGCCGACCUGAGAGGGUGAUCGGGCACACCGGGAAUUGGACACGGCCCAGAACCCUACGGGAGGCAGCAGUAGGGAAUCUUCGGCAAUGGGUGGAACCCGGACCGAGCAACGCCGCGUGAGUGAAGAAGGUUUUCGGAUCGUAAAGCUCUGUUGUUAAGGAAGCGGUACUUAACCAGAAAGGGACGGCUAACUACGUGCCAGCAGCCGCGGUAAUUC